rnacentral:lncRNA from 1 species
AAAUGGCUGGAUCUGGUGCAUUUACUUGUUUUAGUGCUACUCUGUUAUUUCUUCGCGCUCUCUUGUGUAUUUUACCUUGAAAAACCUUUGUCUGUUCCGUUUAGUUGCUUUCAGUUUUUCGUUGUCUGGAAAUGGCUGGAUUUGGAUGGUUUCCUGUUAUAUUAGUUUACUAGAACUUUUCUUGAUUCGCGUGAAAUGAUUUGAUACCUCCUCUCUCGGGCUCAUUUGGAUUUUGAUGAACAUAGUUAUUUACACUAUCUUUGCUAUCUUUUAUUUGACUCAUUUAUUUGCUAUCUUUGCACUAACAUAGUUAUGGCUAUUCUUUUACAUCAGCAAAAGAAGAUAUACUUUUACUGCCGUAGAAAGUUGAAGUUAUGAUCAUUGAAGUUAUGACAAAGAGACUAGAAACAUAUAUAUUGCAAAAAAAAAAAACCAUCUAACCUCAUAUGUCCCAUUAGGAGUUAUAUUGUACUGUUAUAAAAAAAAAACUACGGUAGCCAUCUUCUAAAAAUCUUACAUCUUGUCUGAUAUAUAUCUUCUCA